CGCCGCGGCGGACCGACGAAGACCCGGCGCCGUGACCGCCGCGACGGUACGGCCGGUCGUCGUCGGGUUCGACGCCAGCCCGGCGG
rnacentral:tRNA from 1 species